CGCUAAGACUCCUACGGGAGGCAGCAGUGGGGAAUAUUGCACAAUGGGGGAAACCCUGAUGCAGCCAUGCCGCGUGUGUGAAGAAGGCCUUCGGGUUGUAAAGCACUUUCAGUAGGGAGGAAGGUAGUGUAGUUAACACCUGCACUAUUUGACGUUACCUACAGAAGAAGCACCGGCUAACUCCGUGCCAGCAGCCGCGGUAAUACGGAGGGUGCGAGCGUUAAUCGGAAUUACUGGGCGUAAAGCGCAUGCAGGCGGCCUGUUAAGUCAGAUGUGAAAGCCCGGGGCUUAACCUCGGAAUUGCAUUUGAAACUGGCAGGCUAGAGUCUUGUAGAGGGGGUAGAAUUUCAGGUGUAGCGGUGAAAAUGCGUAGAGAUCUGAAGGAAUACCAGUGGCGAAGGCGGCCCCCUGGACAAAGACUGACGCUCAGAUGCGAAAGCGUGGGGAGCAAACAGGAUUAGAUACCCUGGUAG
rnacentral:rRNA from 1 species